rnacentral:rRNA from 1 species
UCGAAAGCCUGUCCCAGUUCGGACUGGAGUCUGCAACCCGACUCCACGAAGUUGGAUUCGCUAGUAAUCGCGCAUCAGCCAUGGCGCGGUGAAUACGUUCCCGGGCCUUGUACACACCGCCCGUCAAGCCAUGGGAGCCGGGGGCGCCUGAAGUCCGGGACCGCGAGGACCGGCCUAGGGCGAAACUGGUAACUGGGGCUAAGUCGUAACAAGGUACC